GCAGUGGGGAAUUUUGGACAAUGGGCGCAAGCCUGAUCCAGCAAUGCCGCGUGAGUGAAGAAGGCCUUCGGGUUGUAAAGCUCUUUUGUCAGGGAAGAAACGGUUGGGGCUAAUAUCCCCGGCUAAUGACGGUACCUGAAGAAUAAGCACCGGCUAACUACGUGCCAGCAGCCGCGGUAAUACGUAGGGUGCAAGCGUUAAUCGGAAUUACUGGGCGUAAAGCGUGCGCAGGCGGUUUUGUAAGUCUGUCGUGAAAGCCCCGGGCUCAACCUGGGAAUUGCGAUGGAGACUGCAAGGCUUGAAUCUGGCAGAGGGGGGUAGAAUUCCACGUGUAGCAGUGAAAUGCGUAGAGAUGUGGAGGAACACCGAUGGCGAAGGCAGCCCCCUGGGUCAAGAUUGACGCUCAUGCACGAAAGCGUGGGGAGCAAACAGGAUUAGA
rnacentral:rRNA from 1 species